rnacentral:rRNA from 1 species
UUUGGUGAUCAUAGCGCGAGUGAAACACCCGAUCCCAUCCCGAACUCGGCCGUUAAGCACCGUAGCGCCGAUGGUACUGCGUCUUAAGGCGUGGGAGAGUAGGUCAUCGCCAAGC